rnacentral:lncRNA from 1 species
CCUCCGCCUCUCCCUAACCCAGUUCAUCGUCAACCUUGCGGUCUGGAUCGUCUCAAUCGUUCUCAGCUCUUUGGUCGGCCUCGCAGUCAACGGUUUAGCAAUCGAUCCGGAUUCGCCGUACUUAAUCGUCGUCAUGGCGAUUCACUCGGUGGUCCUGAUCUCGAUCGGACUCUCUAUCCGGACAAAGUGGGCUCUGGCGCCGGCAAUCGUCGUCGUGGAAUCCAAAUUUGGUGUUUCGGCGUUGAAGCGGAGCAGCCACCUUGUGAAGGCGAAGUGGCCGGCGGUUUUCUGCUUCGUUCUGUCGAAUGCAAUCGUAGUGUUGCUUUCGGAUCUCGCCUGCUCCGCCGCCGCCGCGGAGCUCACCGGCGGCGGAUG